GUGUUACAACUCUCCCCCACUAAAAGAGUUUUCGUCCUCGAAAACAUACCUCAAGCGAACAACUCUGGGUAAGAUUCCUUCAUCUUACUCUCCAGUUCCCAAGUCACAUUGCCACCUGCUGGUCCUCCCAAAGCUACCUUCACCAAGGCAAUCUCUUUACCCCGCAAUUGCUUCAACUCUCGAUCCUCGAUCCUCAUAGGUGAUGUUUCAACAGUCAGGUUAUCUCUCACCUGUACAUCAUCUACUUGGAC
rnacentral:lncRNA from 1 species